rnacentral:rRNA from 1 species
AAGUCUGAUGGAGCAACGCCGCGUUGAGUGAAGAAGGGUUUCGGCUCGUAAAGCUCUGUUGGUAGUGAAGAAAGAUAGAGGUAGUAACUGGCCUUUAUUUGACGGUAAUUACUUAGAAAGUCACGGCUAACUACGUGCCAGCAGCCGCGGUAAUACGUAGGUGGCAAGCGUUGUCCGGAUUUAUUGGGCGUAAAGCGAGUGCAGGCGGUUCAAUAAGUCUGAUGUGAAAGCCUUCGGCUCAACCGGAGAAUUGCAUCAGAAACUGUUGAACUUGAGUGCAGAAGAGGAGAGUGGAACUCCAUGUGUAGCGGUGGAAUGCGUAGAUAUAAGGAAGAACACCAGUGGCGAAGGCGGCUCUCUGGUCUGCAACUGACGCUGAGGCUCGAAAGCAUGGGUAGCGAACAGGAUUAGAUACCCUGGUAGUCCAUGCCGUAAACGAUGAGUGCUAAGUGUUGGGAGGUUUCCGCCUCUCAGUGCUGCAGCUAACGCAUUAAGCACUCCGCCUGGGGAGUACGACCGCAAGGUUGAAACUCAAAGGAAUUGACGGGGGCCCGCACAAGCGGUGGAGCAUGUGGUUUAAUUCGAAGCCACGCGAAGAGCCUUACCAGGUCUUGACAUCCAGUGCCAAACCUAAG